ACGGGACGAGUGCAUUUAUUAGAACAAAACCAAGCGGCUUCGGUCGUGUUUUGUUGACUCAGAAUAACUCAGCUGAUCGCACAGUCUAGCACUGGCGACGUGUCAUUCAAGUAUCUGCCUUAUCAACUUUCGACGGUAGUUUAUAUGACUACCGUGGUGGUGACGGGUAACGGAGGAUUAGGGUUUGACUCCGGAGAAGGGGCCUGAGAAAUGGCCACUACGUCUAAGGAUGGCAGCAGGCGCGCAAAUUACCCACUCUCAGUACGAGGAGGUAGUGACGAGAAAUAACGAGACCGUUCUUUUUAAGGCCGGUUAUCGGAAUGAGUACAAUUUAAACUCUUUAACAAGUAUCUAUGAGAGGGCAAGUCUGGUGCCAGCAGCCGCGGUAAUUCCAGCUCUCAAAAUGCAUAGAAUCCUUGCUGCGGUUAAAAAGCUCGUAGUUGGAUUUGUGCUAAGGACAUGGUCUAGUUUCGGCUACGAACUGUGCUCCUAUGCUUAAUACCGGUUUUCUCACCGUGGCUUUAAUCGGCCUAUGUGGGUGGCUGGUGAGUUUACUUUGAACAAAUCAAAGUGCUCAAAACAAGCUUUUUGCUUGAAUAUUUUUGCAUGGAAUAAUAAAAUAGGAUUUCGGUCCAAUUUUAUUGGUUUUAUUGACUGAAGUAAUGGUUAAUAGAGACAUUCGGGGGCAUUCGUAUCGUUGCGUGAGAGGUGAAAUUCUUGGACCGUAGCGAGACGUACGACCGCGAAAGCAUUUGCCAAGUUUGUCUUCAUUAAUCAAGAACGAAAGUCAGAGGAUCGAAGGUGAUCAGAUACCGCCCUA
rnacentral:rRNA from 1 species